rnacentral:piRNA from 1 species
UUCACCCUUCCUUCCUGAGUAUUUGUGA